AGCAUAAAUAGUCUCUUGUGUUCACUCAGUAAGAAACACAGUCAAAAAGAAAAAUUUUGAAUCAACAGAACUUGGAACUCAGCUGGGCUUGGAAGACUUGUGAACUUCCUGUUUUGAACAACUGGAUAAACAAGGGUACCAUUUAAUGCUACAUUUUUCCCCUAAGGUAAAAGCCUCCCCAGAACAUAGCUCUAGACCACUUAGCAUUUUAUUGAGAUGGAAAACAGCUCUACAAUAUCAACAUUUUGAAGUGGACCUUAGACACAGACUGCAUUGGCGAACUCUGACAAAUCUCUGAACUUGGUGAUUUGUAAGUCACUGUUGGUCUUUUCAAAUCCAGCUGCCCCUAAGUCAUUGUUCCGCCUCCUCUGAGGGAGGGUCAAGAGAAUAAGUUCAACCAUGAAGCAGAGACCUUGUAGCCCUGGAAACAUCAAGUGAGUGGAGGCCUCCAAGAUCUCACAGCUAAGACACCGGGUUAGCUGGCUUCAGCGCCCUGGCAGAACUUGCUGGCAGCCUGAGUCAGCGUCAACCAUCGGACACAGGGCAGGUGAAAGCAAUUCGCCAUGAGUCCGAAGCCCAGACCAACCAGAUUCUCCUGGGGGCCGGUCUAGGGCAUCUCUAGCCUCGCUCUGAACUCCCACAUAAGUUCGUGGUUACCCUCAGCUUUAAAUGAAUGAAAAUCAAGUCUUCCAUGAUUAAAAACAAAUGCUGUGUUUGGUGCCACAGUUGCAGAGAGUUGAAGGCCUGCUAUGUGUAUCAUAUACCGGAAUGAACUGGAGGAGACAGAAUAAGAGAUGGAAUUUAAGAAAACAAUGAAUAGGAAACAUACUGGAAAGCUCAAGUCAACAUAUGAUGAGAAAGAUUUUGAAGGAGGCCAGUUGAAGAUUCAAAUUGGAGGCUUGCUCCCUGUGCUGUGAAGCUCCAAGCAUCAGCCUGGAGAACGAGAGCAGUAACCAGCCUUUGGAAUUCCGGCAAAGUUUCUUCCCUGGGAUCCAUUGUCUCUGUCACGUGAAAAUGACAACAAUAUAUACCCAGGAGUGGAAUUGCUGGGUCAUAUGGUAGCUCUGUUUUUUUAGUUUUUUGAGAAACCUCCAGUUUACAUCUCCACCAGCAGUGAACCGGUUUCCUUUUCUCCAAAUCUUCACCAGUACUUGUUGUUUGGGCUCUUUUUGAUGAUAGCCAUUGUGACAGGCGUUGUUAUAAUAUUUUUCUAUAUUGGGUUAAAUAAACUGUUAUUGCCAUUAAC
ensembl:lncRNA